AUUGAACGCUGGCGGCAGGCCUAACACAUGCAAGUCGAACGAGGGGCGGACGGGUGAGUAAUGUCUGGGAAACUGCCUGAUGGAGGGGGAUAACUACUGGAAACGGUCGCUAAUACCGCAUACCAUCAGAUGCGCCCAGAUGGGAUUAGCUUGUUGGUGGGGUAACGGCGCACCAAGGCGGCGAACCCUAGCUGGUCGGAGAGGAUUACCAGCAACACUGGAACUGAGACACGGCCCGUACUCCACCGGAGGGAGGCGGUGGGGAAUAUGGCACAAUGGGCGCAAGCCGGAUGCAGCCAGGCCGGUUGUAUGAAGAAGGCCUUCGGGUUGUAAAGUACUUUCUGCGGGGAGGCGUUACCCGCAGAAGAAGCACCGGCUAACUCCGUGCCAGCAGCCGCGGUAAUUC
rnacentral:rRNA from 1 species